UACGGAGGGGGGCUAGCGUUGUUCGGAAUUACUGGGCGUAAAGCGCACGUAGGCGGCUUUGUAAGUUAGAGGUGAAAGCCCAGGGCUUAACCCUGGAAUUGCCUUUAAGACUGCAUCGCUAGAAUCGUGGAGAGGUAAGUGGAAUUCCGAGUGUAGAGGUGAAAUUCGUAGAUAUUCGGAAGAACACCAGUGGCGAAGGCGGCUCACUGGACCGGUAUUGACGCUGAGGUGCGAAAGCGUGGGGAGCGAACAGG
rnacentral:rRNA from 1 species